rnacentral:rRNA from 1 species
UACGUAGGCAGCAAGCGUUGUUCGGAAUUACUGGGCGUAAAGGGUGCGUAGGCGGUGCUCUAAGUUUGGUGUGAAAUCUCCCGGCUUAACUGGGAGGGUGCGCCGAAAACUGGAGCGCUGGGGUGCGGGAGAGGAAAGCGGAAUUCCUGGUGUAGCGGUGAAAUGCGUAGAGAUCAGGAGGAACCCCUGCGGUGUAGACGGCUUUCUGGACCGUAACUGACGCUGAGGCACGAAAGGGUGGGUAGCAAACACG